rnacentral:misc_RNA from 1 species
GGACCCUCGGGACCCCUGUGGAUUUCCGCAGCGGGGCCCGGUGUUGGGGUUUCGCGGCUGCCGCGCACCCCUAAAUCCAGUGGCGGACCCCACUGUGGCCCUGGCGUAGUAAAUUUUCCUCGCUCUCGGUUGCAGUGGUGGCCCUGCCCCCAGCACCAACUAUUCUCAAA